GUUUGAGCCGGGGAGAUGAUCAGCUUGGCUUUGGUCCUUCUUCCUGUUUAAGGGCUGUGAUGGAUUCCCUUUUGUCCUUGUGUGGGUUUUUCAGUUUGGGAAUGUGUUUAGGAAAACAGUGAACUGUGAACUUCUUCUGACAGGGUAACAUUUAGAAAUAUGGAUUUCCUGGGAGUUUUGAAAGGCUGGAUUUGAUUGGAGAGGUCUAGUGGAGGUACCAGAACACUCAAGUGCAAUGAUUUUCUUUCAGCACCUGAGUUUGAACAGAAACCUGACCCCUGUCCUGCUGACAGAGGUUUAUCAAGCAUAUCUUAGUGGGAGCUGCUGCAGGCAGAGCACACGUUCUUCUGGACAAACUCCUGACCUUCAGCCCUUUCUGUCUGGAAACGCCGUGUGGGGAGGUUUUGGAGUAGAGGAGGACUUCAGAAGCACACUUUGUAGAGUAGAGGAGAACUUUGGAAGCUCCAAGUCAGUACUCAGGAGAGGGCAACCCUGCCCAAAGGAGCCUUAA
rnacentral:lncRNA from 1 species